ACGGAAGGCAGCAGUGGGGGAUAUUGCAUAAUGGGCGCAAGCCUGAUGCAGCAACGCCGCGUGAGGGAAGACGGUCUUCGGAUUGUAAACCUCUGUCCUUGGUGAAGAACACAAUGACGGUAACCAGGAUAGGAAGCCACGGCUAACUACGUGCCAGCAGCCGCGGUAAUACGUAGGUGGCAAGCGUUGUCCGGAUUUACUGGGUGUAAAGGGAGCGCAGGCGGGACAGCAAGUUGGAUGUGAAAUACCGAAGCUUAACUUCGGAGCUGCAUCCAAAACUGCUGUUCUUGAGUGAAGUAGAGGUAGGCGGAAUUCCGAGUGUAGCGGUGAAAUGCGUAGAUAUUCGGAGGAACACCGGUGGCGAAGGCGGCCUACUGGGCUUUAACUGACGCUGAGGCUCGAAAGUGUGGGGAGCAAACAGGAUUAGAUACCCUGGUA
rnacentral:rRNA from 1 species